CGCGUUUUUCGCCCAGGCGGAGCUCGACCGCCGUCUAAAGUAAUGAGGGCGUUCGUCGACGAGCACCGGGACGCCCACGGGGUCGAGCCGAUCUGCCGGGUGCUGCAGAUCGCCCCG
rfam:Rubrivivax sp. SCN 70-15 ABT20_C0085, whole genome shotgun sequence.